UACGGAGGGUGCAAGCGUUGCUCGGAAUUACUGGGCGUAAAGCGUACGCAGGCUGUCCGUUAAGUCGGGUGUGAAAUCCCGGGGCUCAACCCCGGAAUUGCGCCCGAAACUGGCGGGCUUGAGUGCGGGAGAGGGAAGCGGAAUUCCUGGUGUAGAGGUGAAAUUCGUAGAUAUCAGGAGGAACACCGGUGGCGAAAGCGGCUUCCUGGCCCGACACUGACGCUCAUGUACGAAAGCGUGGGGAGCAAACAGG
rnacentral:rRNA from 1 species